GACGAACGCUGGCGGCGUGCUUAACACAUGCAAGUCGAACGGAAAGGCCCUGCUUUUGUGGGUGCUCGAGUGGCGAACGGGGGAGUAACACGUGAGUAACCUGCCCUUGACUUUGGGAUAACUUCAGGAAACUGGGGCUAAUACCGGAUAGGAGCUCCUGCUGCAUGGUGGGGGUUGGAAAGUUUCGGCGGUUGGGGAUGGACUCGCGGCUUAUCAGCUUGUUGGUGGGGUAGUGGCUUACCAAGGCUUUGACGGGUAGCCGGCCUGAGAGGGUGACCGGCCACAUUGGGACUGAGAUACGGCCCAGACUCCUACGGGAGGCAGCAGUGGGGAAUAUUGCACAAUGGGCGGAAGCCUGAUGCAGCAACGCCGCGUGCGGGAUGACGGCCUUCGGGUUGUAAACCGCUUUCGCCUGUGACGAAGCGUGAGUGACGGUAAUGGGUAAAGAAGCACCGGCUAACUACGU
rnacentral:rRNA from 1 species